AUUGAACGCUGGUGGCAGGCUUAACACAUGCAAGUCGAGCGGGGUGAUGGUGCUUGCACUAUCACUUAGCGGCGGACGGGUGAGUAUGCUUAGGAAUCUGCCUAUUAGUGGGGGACAACAUCUCGAAAGGGAUGCUAAUACCGCAUACGUCCUACGGGAGAAAGCAGGGGAUCACUUGUGACCUUGCGCUAAUAGAUGAGCUUAAGUCGGAUUAGCUAGUUGGUGGGGUAAAGGCCUACCAAGGCGACGAUCUGUAGCGGGUCUGAGGGGAUGAUCCGCCACACUGGGACUGAGACACGGCCCAGACUCCUACGGGAGGCAGCAGUGGGGAAUAUUGGACAAUGGGGGGAACCCUGAUCCAGCCAUGCCGCGUGUGUGAAGAAGGCCUUAUGGUUGUAAAGCACUUUAAGCGAGGAGGAGGCUCUUUUGGUUAAUACCCAAGAUGAGUGGACGUUACUCGCAGAAUAAGCACCGGCUAACUCUGUGCCAGCCGCCGCCGUAA
rnacentral:rRNA from 1 species